UUCGCCCUUAGAGUUUGAUCCUGGCUCAGGACGAACGCUGGCGGCGUGCUUAACACAUGCAAGUCGAACGGAGGUUACGAGGAAGCUUGCGAAUUGUAACCUUAGUGGCGGACGGGUGAGUAACGCGUGGAUAACCUGCCUGACAGACCGGGACAACACCGGGAAACUGGUGCUAAUACCGGAUACGCUCAAGAGUGCCCAUGCACACUUGAGGAAAGGAGCAAUCCGCUGACAGAUGGGUCCGCGUCCCAUUAGCUAGUUGGAGGUGUAAAGGACCACCAAGGCGACGAUGGGUAGCCGGCCUGAGAGGGUGGACGGCCACACUGGAACUGAGACACGGUCCAGACUCCUACGGGAGGCAGCAGUGGGGAAUCUUCCGCAAUGGGCGAAAGCCUGACGGAGCAACGCCGCGUGAGUGAUUAAGGCCUUCGGGUUGUAAAACUCUGUCAUCAGGGAAGAAAAUAAUGACGGUACCUGAGGAGGAAGCCCCGGCUAACUACGUGCCAGCAGCCGCGGUAAAACGUAGGGGGCGAGCGUUGUCCGGAAUUACUGGGCGUAAAGGGCGCGUAGGCGGUUGUCCAAGUCAGAGGUGAAAACUCUGGGCUCAACUCAGAGCGUGCCUCUGAAACUGGGCGACUUGGGGGCAGGAGAGGGGAGUGGAAUUCCCAGUGUAGCGGUGAAAUGCGUAGAUAUUGGGAGGAACACCAGUGGCGAAGGCGACUCUCUGGCCUGUUUCUGACGCUGAGGCGCGAAAGCGUGGGGAGCGAACGGGAUUAGAUACCCCGGUAGUCCACGCCGUAAACGAUGGGUGCU
rnacentral:rRNA from 1 species